rnacentral:misc_RNA from 1 species
GUGAAUCAUCGAAUCUUUGAACGCAUAUUGCACUCUCUGGGAUUCCGGAGUGUAUGCCUGGUUGAGGGUAAUUAAAAAGAACCUUUAACCAAUUUUUUUUGGUCAGAGGAAAUGAGCUCUCCGCGUUUAUAGCGUUAGCUUGAAAUAAAUAAUCAAGUGUCAUUUUAGUCGAGACGCGUAAUAAUAUUAUUUCGCGAAAUCUUCAUUAUGUGACUAGCAAGUUUGCAUUCGUACAAAUUU